AAAUGGCCUAGCAAUGGAAAAGAAAUUAAUUCUAUAUACAGAGCAGUCUUGAAGAUAAGAGAGAAGGAAUGCCUCCUUUGCUACCUGCCAAUGCAUUCUGCUGCUAAAAGAAGUCCAGAAUUCCUGAAUGCUCCCUCCACAGCUACUUCCAUGUGCAAACCCACUUUGUGGGUUUGGCAUGAAGGCUAAAAUCUGCUGGACGGUUUUUGCAUGUUUAAUCCGUCUAAGUAAUAAAUUUAUCCAGCUGUAGGAGAACAAUGGCUGAGCCCAAGCAAGCCACUCAGCCUGAGAAGCCCAAGGACACUGAUGUUUUACAACAGUACACGUCACUGGAAAUGACAGGCUAUAUGCUUAAAUAUAAACUCAAGGCCAUCAAUACAAGUUAGCAUUUCUACCAGGACCGAUCCAGUAGCCCAGAUUAAAUACUAUCAGUUCAAAAGACAAUGGAAGAAAAAUGAGACAAGUUUGAAAAGUCUGAGUAGCUGCAAAAAUAAAAGCUGGACUUCAAUUUCUACUCUUACCUAAAACACAUUGUCUGCAAGAACCUACAAGAGGAAAACAGAAACCAAAAAACAAAAAACACAGAAAACAAAAGAAGAGAAAAAAACCCCACAAAACCAAAAAAAAACCCCAAAAAACAACUAAACAGAAAUCAUUUUCAAAACCCAAAGCUCACAAAAAUAUACUAAGAAGAGAAGGAAAAAGGGGUGAAAGGUUGAAGGGCUGAAAAGUGUCAU